rnacentral:snRNA from 1 species
GUGCCUUCCUGACAGGGGAGACAUCAUGAUCAGGAAGGUGAUUUUUGCCAGACUCAGUCUCAACUGCAGAAGUUGUGUUAGCAGGGAAAUGCUUGUCUUAUUUCCUUC